UCGUGGCAAGGUAGACUAGCAAACAUGCCCAACCUUUACUCACAUUCGAGAAAACACUCCCAAUAAGAUUGCUUGCUCCAAAAUCGAAGAGGCACCGUCCUCCGAAUCUAAAGAGCCAGACUCCCAACAUGACUACUUUCUUAAAAAUCGAAGAGAGGGUAAAGGAACAGUACCAUUGCUGGAUAAUUGGAAAGUCCCUGUGUGUCAACCUCUGUGCUUCGUGGCAAGGUAGACUAGCAAACAUGCCUAACCUUUACUCACAUUCGAGAAAACACUCCCAACAAGAUUGCUUGCUCCAAAAUCGAAGAGGCACCGCCCUCCGAAUCUCGAGAGCCACUCUCCCAACAUGAUUACUUUCUCAAAAAUCGAAGAGACACUGCUCCCCGAAUCUCGAGAGCCAGACCCCCAGCAUGAUUGCUUUCUCAAAAAUCGGUGAGGCACCGUUCUCCGAAUCAAUCGAAGAGGCGCUCGCUUUCUCAAAAGCUGGGCUGCUCAGAGACCACGAGGGCCGAUCUCAGAAAUCGAAGAGGCACCUACUUUUCUAGCCUUGUCAGCACCUGUCACACGCACACUCAGCUUUGCAGAAAUUAUGGGCAUUCUGUCGAAGACUUCUGGUGAAGUAGAAAGCACAUGAAUCUUACUGUUCAACCACCCACACGCAACAAUAACUCAUGGGUACCACAGAUCACUUUGCCAAAGUUCUCUGCCAAAGUUGAGCACGUGAAGCUUGCAGCUCCCACUACAUCGCUCUGACCAAGAAAGGUAAAAGAAUAGCAAAGAAACAGCACUAACAAAGUUUAGACACAUAAAUUUUGAAGGUCUAGCUACCAUAUUAUUACCCACAAGGGUAAAGGAACAAUACCACUGCUGGAUAAUUGGAAAGUCCCUGUGUGUCAACCUCUGUGCUUCGUGGCAAGGUAGACUAGCAAACAUGCCCAACCUUUACUCAUAUUCAAGAAAACAGUCCCAACAAGAUUGCUUGCUCCAAAAUCGAAGAGGCACCGUCCUCCGAAUCUCGAGAGCCAGACUCCCAACAUGACUACUUUCUCAAAAUUGAAGAGAGGGUAAAGGAAC
rnacentral:lncRNA from 1 species